rnacentral:rRNA from 1 species
AUUGAACGCUGGCGGCAGGCCUAACACAUGCAAGUCGAACGGUAACAGGAAGAAGCUUGCUUCUUUGCUGACGAGUGGCGGACGGGUGAGUAAUGUCUGGGAAACUGCCUGAUGGAGGGGGAUAACUACUGGAAACGGUAGCUAAUACCGCAUAACGUCGCAAGACCAAAGAGGGGGACCUUCGGGCCUCUUGCCAUCGGAUGUGCCCAGAUGGGAUUAGCUAGUAGGUGGGGUAACGGCUCACCUAGGCGACGAUCCCUAGCUGGUCUGAGAGGAUGACCAGCCACACUGGAACUGGGACACGGUCCAGACGCCUACGGGAGGCAGCAGUGGGGAAUAUUGCACAAUGGGCGCAAGCCUGAUGCAGCCAUGCCGCGUGUAUGAAGAAGGCCUUCGGGUUGUAAAGUACUUUCAGCGGGGAGGAAGGGAGUAAAGUUAAUACCUUUGCUCAUUGACGUUACCCGCAGAAGAAGCACCGGCUAACUCCGUG